AUGGAGGAGGAGGGCGGCUGCAGCAGCCAGAAGCGGCGGCCCUAUGAUCCAUCCAUCACGGCCCAAUGGGCGUCGCUUCAGCCGGACCUUGUCCAGCACAUCGCCGACUGCAUCCUCACCACCAGCGGCGUCGACGAGUACAUGGCCAUGAGGGCCGUCUGCCCCACCUGGCGCUCUGCCGUCGCCAAGCCAUCUCCGCACGCCGCGGUCGCCGACCUCCGUUUCCGCCCACGGCAGUGGGUCUUGCUCAACGAGGCAGACGACGACCAAGGCCGGCCCCUCUUCCUCAACGUCACCACGGGGCGCUUCCGCCGCCUGCGCCGCCCGGUGCUCCGUGACUACAUCCUCGUCGGUGCGUCUGACGGUCUCCUCGUGCUGGGGGACACGGACCCCCCGCAUGCCGCUCGUCUCCUCAACCCAUUGACUGGUGACAUGCUUCCGUUUGCGGCGCCGAUACCUCGGGAACCUUGGGCGCCGAUACCUUCGGAACCUUGGGUGGAUACGGCAGUCACUAGCUCUGAGCCAACGAUCAUCUUCUCUUCCCAACAUGGAUCCAAAUAUCUUCAGUCUGGUAUCGCGCUUUACUCUGCUGAUCCCACGGGCCAGCUCCGUGUGGUGAAGCUUCAUGAUGCUGCUUUGAAGAAGGCAGGCCUGUUCUACCUGCAGAGCAUGGUCACAUAUGCAGGCAAUGUUUAUGUUCUCAGUUCCGGAGGAACCUUAUGCAAGAUCGUUUGGACUGGUGAGCACUGGUAUGCCGAGCGAAUAUUGGACAUUGACAUGAAAUACAUUGUUGCUCUUGUUGAGGCAACCAGUAAGCUGCUGCUUGUUAAAGAGCAACUUGAAACCAUUGAAGUUUUCAGCAUCGAUGUCGAGAGGAAGCUACUUGAACCAAUUAAAAGUCUCGGCAGCAGUGCGCUCUUCCUAAGUCAUGGCAACUGCAUGGUAGUCGAUGCAGAUAAGCUUCCUUCCAUCAAGCGCAACUGCAUCUACAGCACUUUUUGUACUGUAUUCAGUAUUGAUAGGAUAUAUGCCUGGUGUGACCUUGGCAAUGGCGAGAAAAAAUUCCUCACUGUCUCCCAUGUGCCUGUAUAUUGCCCUGGAACUGAAAGUGGUAUCAUUCAUGAAGGACCUUUGAGUCUUGCUGAGGUUCUCCUCAAUCCCUACCCAAAAGUUAAAGAUCAACUAGAUCAUUUCCGCGAAACCUAA
rnacentral:rRNA from 1 species